rnacentral:misc_RNA from 1 species
AAAGUCGUAACAAGGUUUCCGUAGGUGAACCUGCGGAAGGAUCAUUACUCAAUACAUGCUGUAUAAUUCACUUAUACAACAGUAUACACAACAACCAACCGUGCUCUUUCUUUUUUUUCACCCCACAUCUCCUUUAACCUUUCUAUAUCUUCUUUGACUGAUUACUUUCUUGUUGUCCUAGCCUUUACGGCUCUGACACCCAAGAAUCUGCCCAUAUCCUAUGCUAAACCCAUAGGUGUGUGCGUUUAAAUAACCUUUUAAAUACAACUCCUAACAAUGGAUAUCUUGGCUCUC